rnacentral:tRNA from 2 species
GGGCCUGUAGCUCAGAUGGUUAGAGCGCACGCCUGAUAAGCGUGAGGUCAGUGGUUCAAUUCCACUCAGGCCCACCA